UACGUAGGGUGCGAGCGUUGUCCGGAAUUAUUGGGCGUAAAGCGUGCGCAGGCGGUCUGUUAAGACCGAUGUGAAAUCCCCGGGCUUAACCUGGGAACUGCAUUGGUGACUGGCAGGCUUUGAGUGUGGCAGAGGGAGGUAGAAUUCCACGUGUAGCAGUGAAAUGCGUAGAGAUGUGGAGGAAUACCGAUGGCGAAGGCAGCCUCCUGGGCCAACACUGACGCUCAUGCACGAAAGCGUGGGGAGCAAACAGG
rnacentral:rRNA from 1 species